rnacentral:rRNA from 1 species
AACGAACGCUGGCGGCAUGCCUAACACAUGCAAGUCGAACGAGACCUUCGGGUCUAGUGGCGCACGGGUGCGUAACGCGUGGGAAUCUGCCCUUGGGUUCGGGAUAACAGUUGGAAACGACUGCUAAUACCGAAUGAUGACUUCGGUCCAAAGAUUUAUCGCCCAGGGAUGAGCCCGCGUCGGAUUAGCUAGUUGGUGAGGUAAAGGCUCACCAAGGCGACGAUCCGUAGCUGGUCUGAGAGGAUGAUCAGCCACACUGGGACUGAGACACGGCCCAGACUCCUACGGGAGGCAGCAGUGGGGAAUAUUGGACAAUGGGCGAAAGCCUGAUCCAGCAAUGCCGCGUGAGUGAUGAAGGCCUUAGGGUUGUAAAGCUCUUUUACCCGGGAUGAUAAUGACAGUACCGGGAGAAUAAGCCCCGGCUAACUCUGUGCCAGCAGCCGCCGUAACAC